AUUGAACGCUGGCGGCAGGCCUAACCCAUGCAAGUCGAACGAGUGGCGGACGGGUGAGUAAUGUCUGGGAACCUGCCUGAUGGAGGGGUCUAACUACUGGAACCGGUAGCUAAUACCGCUUACCAUCAGCUGUGCCCAGAUGGGAUUAGCUUGUGGGUGGGGUAACGGCACACCAAGGCGACGAUCCCUAGCUGGUCUGAGAGGAUGACCAGCCACACUGGAACUGAGACACGGGCCAGACUCCUACGGGAGGCAGCAGUGGGGAAUAUUGCACAAUGGGCGCAAGCCUGAUGCAGCCAUGCCGCGUGUAUGAAGAAGGCCUUCGGGUUGUAAAGUACUGUCAGCGGGGAGGCGUUACCCGCAGAAGAAGCACCGGCUAACUCCGUGCCAGCAGCCGCGGUAAUAC
rnacentral:rRNA from 1 species